rnacentral:rRNA from 1 species
GACGAACGCUGGCGGCGUGCCUAACACAUGCAAGUCGAGCGGAGUCAGUAAGAGGAAGUUUUCGGAUGGAAUCUUGUUGAUUUAGCGGCGGACGGGUGAGUAACGCGUGAGCGACCAACCUUGCACAGGGGGAUAACGGACCGAAAGGUUCACUAAUACCGCAUGAGACCACGGUGUUGCAUGACACAGGGGGUCAAAGGAGGAAUCCGGUGCAAGACGGGCUCGCGUCCGAUUAGGUAGUUGGAGGGGUAACGGCCCACCAAGCCUAUGAUCGGUAGCCGACCUGAGAGGGUGAUCGGCCACAUUGGAACUGAGAUACGGUCCAAACUCCUACGGGAGGCAGCAGUGGGGAAUAUUGGGCAAUGGGGGAAACCCUGACCCAGCAACGCCGCGUGAAGGAAGAAGGUUUUCGGAUUGUAAACUUCUGUCCUUGGUGAAGAGAAGAAGACGGUAGCCAAGGAGGAAGCCCCGGCUAACUACGUG